GGUGAGGCUCCUGGCUUCCCUCUGAGCCCCCCAGAAUUGCCCCUGUUCACACACCUCUGCCACAGGUACCCCCUUUACACAACCCCCCCUGGGUACAGGGGACUCAUCCCAGCCUUUGGAAAACCCACCUGGUGGGAGCAACACUCCUCUGUGACCAUUAAUGUGGGUUUGAGAGUCACCUGGGGUGCUCAGAGCAUGGAACUGUCACCUGAGACCUGCUGGCAGCUCUUGAGGAGCUUCUCCUUAUCCAGCUUCACACCCUGGCUGAGCUCUGAGAGGGUGACUCCCUUCCAGGAGGUGACAGUACCUGCUCUCUGAGGAGGUGACAGGUGACUCUCCCUGAGGAGGUGACAGUCCCUGCUCUCUGAGGAGGUGCCAGGUGACUCCCCUCCAGGAGGUGACAGUCCCUGCUCUCUGAGGAGGGGCCAGGUGACUCCAGGAGGUGACAGUACCUGCUCUCUGAGGAGGUGACAGGUGACUCCCCCUGAGGAGGUGACAGUACCUGCUCUCUGAGGAGGUGACAGGUGACUCCCCUCCAGGAGGUGACAGUACCUGCUCUCUGAGGAGGUGACAGUCCCUGCUCUCUGAGGAGGUGCCAGGUGACUCCCCUCCAGGAGGUGACAGUACCUGCUCUCUGAGGAGGUGACAGUCCCUGCUCUCUGAGGAGGUGCCAGGUGACUCC